rnacentral:misc_RNA from 1 species
UUAAGUUCAGCGGGUAUUCCUACCUGAUCCGAGGUCAACCUUGGUGAAAAACACGUGGUUAAGACGGGAGCGGCCGGCCACAUAAAUGCGUGCUUGGAAAGCUCGUUGCAUCUAGGGUCCCACACGACUCCGUCAAUAUCUUUGGGACCUGUCUGUCAGACACGGUCCAACGGCAAGCCAGGGCUUGAGGGUUGAUAAUG